rnacentral:rRNA from 1 species
GAUGAACGCUGGCGGCGUGCCUAAUACAUGCAAGUCGAGCGAACAGACGAGGAGCUUGCUCCUCUGACGUUAGCGGCGGACGGGUGAGUAACACGUGGAUAACCUACCUAUAAGACUGGGGUAACUUCGGGAAACCGGAGCUAAUACCGGAUAAUAUAUUGAACCGCAUGGUUCAAUAGUGAAAGACGGUUUUGCUGUCACUUAUAGAUGGAUCCGCGCCGCAUUAGCUAGUUGGUAAGGUAACGGCUUACCAAGGCGACGAUGCGUAGCCGACCUGAGAGGGUGAUCGGCCACACUGGAACUGAGACACGGUCCAGACUCCUACGGGAGGCAGCAGUAGGGAAUCUUCCGCAAUGGGCGAAAGCCUGACGGAGCAACGCCGCGUGAGUGAUGAAGGUCUUCGGACCGUAAAACUCUGUUAUUAGGGAAGAACAAAUGUGUAAGUAACUAUGCACGUCUUGACGGUACCUAAUCAGAAAGCCACGGCUAACUACGUG